rnacentral:rRNA from 1 species
GAACGGGUGAGUAACACGUGAGUAACCUGCCCUUAACUCUGGGAUAAGCCUGGGAAACUGGGUCUAAUACCGGAUAUGACCCGUCACCGCAUGGUGGUGGGUGGAAAGAUUUUUUGGUUUUGGAUGGACUCGCGGCCUAUCAGCUUGUUGGUGAGGUAAUGGCUCACCAAGGCGACGACGGGUAGCCGGCCUGAGAGGGUGACCGGCCACACUGGGACUGAGACACGGCCCAGACUCCUACGGGAGGCAGCAGUGGGGAAUAUUGCACAAUGGGCGCAAGCCUGAUGCAGCGACGCCGCGUGAGGGAUGAAGGCCUUCGGGUUGUAAACCUCUUUCAGUAGGGAAGAAGCGAAAGUGACGGUACCUGCAGAAGAAGCGCCGGCUAACUACGUGCCAGCAGCCGCGGUAAUACGUAGGGCGCAAGCGUUAUCCGGAAUUAUUGGGCGUAAAGAGCUCGUAGGCGGUUUGUCGCGUCUGCCGUGAAAGUCCGGGGCUCAACUCCGGAUCUGCGGUGGGUACGGGCAGACUAGAGUGAUGUAGGGGAGACUGGAAUUCCUGGUGUAGCGGUGAAAUGCGCAGAUAUCAGGAGGAACACCGAUGGCGAAGGCAGGUCUCUGGGCAUUAACUGACGCUGAGGAGCGAAAGCAUGGGGAGCGAACAGGAUUAGAUACCCUGGUAGUCCAUGCCGUAAACGUUGGGCACUAGGUGUGGGGGACAUUCCACGUUUUCCGCGCCGUAGCUAACGCAUUAAGUGCCCCGCCUGGGGAGUACGGCCGCAAGGCUAAAACUCAAAGGAAUUGACGGGGGCCCGCACAAGCGGCGGAGCAUGCGGAUUAAUUCGAUGCAACGCGAAGAACCUUACCAAGGCUUGACAUGAACCGGAAAGACCUGGAAACAGGUGCCCCGCUUGCGGCCGGUUUACAGGUGGUGCAUGGUUGUCGUCAGCUCGUGUCGUGAGAUGUUGGGUUAAGUCCCGCAACGAGCGCAACCCUCGUUCUAUGUUGCCAGCGCGUUAUGGCGGGGACUCAUAGGAGACUGCCGGGGUCAACUCGGAGGAAGGUGGGGACGACGUCAAAUCAUCAUGCCCCUUAUGUCUUGGGCUUCACGCAUGCUACAAUGGCCGGUACAAAGGGUUGCGAUACUGUGAGGUGGAGCUAAUCCCAAAAAGCCGGUCUCAGUUCGGAUUGGGGUCUGCAACUCGACCCCAUGAAGUCGGAGUCGCUAGUAAUCGCAGAUCAGCAACGCUGCGGUGAAUACGUUCCCGGGCCUUGUACACACCGCCCGUCAAGUCACGAAAGUUGGUAACACCCGAAGCCGGUGGCCUAACCCCCUUGUGGGGAGGGAGCCGUCGAAG